UUUUAAUUAUUUUUCUUUUAUUAUUUUAAAUUGCUUUUUCGUAAUUUCAUUUUUUAUCCAAAAAAUCCAAAAAUAAUUUCUAAAAUUCUCUUUUAUUUUUCUUCAUAUGAUUUCUAUUUUUUCACAUUUUAUUUCAUUGUUUUCUAUUUUUCAUGAUUUUUCUCUUUUCUCCUUUGUUUUAAUUGGUUUAAAAAUACGUUUCUGUAUUUUUUAAUUCUGAAAAUUCUAUUGUAUGUUUCUAAUUUUAUUUCCAACCUUCC
rnacentral:lncRNA from 1 species